ensembl:lncRNA
UAGCAUGAAAUGUGGCUGGGUCUUCUACAUGAUAACGGGCUGCCAGAAGAGCCCUGUGAGGCUAGUGGCAUUGAGAACAAAAUUUACUUGUAUACAAGAUUAGUUUGACUUUAAAUUGAUCUGUUUAGACAUUUUAUUAUAUUUUAUCUAUUUUCCUCCUGUUUUUCAGAUGUAGGCAGACAAUGCCCAUUGAUGAGCUUUGCCUAGUUGACAAAUACCACGUUACAAGAAGUAUGACAGUUUUGAUAUGACAGUUCUUGAAUGUGGAGAAAAUUAGUCUGAAUGUAUAGAAGACUACAGUUUCUGUACAUAUGGCCUUGCAUACUAUGUAAAGAUUUGUACAGAAUUUCUACAGCUCAAGUUUGGCAGCUUUUCUUCCACCAGAAGAAUGUUCUGGAAGAAAUAUAUAGGUAGAUGAGUUGUUAAAAGAUGGAAUUUGGAAAUCUGUAAAUCAUGGUAACAUAUUACUGGUAUGUUCGCAAGAAGACUCAGAUAGCUUUUAACUAUAUGUGGCAGUGGUGGGGGAAUGGUCUUGGGUACUAAAAAAUAGACUAUAUAUUUAAUUUUAAUUGCUGCAUUUGUUGAAUUUUUCUAAGAACCACCUUCUCAGUUAACUAAAAUAAGUUGUUAUACUGUGGUAAUAAAAUAUUGAUCCUGAUUUACCA